rnacentral:lncRNA from 1 species
UAAAUAUCUCAAGCUCAUAGAGUACUAUAUAUUAGAACAUCUGCUUAGUUACCGUUUAGCUUUGUCAAAUCUUAUCAUUUUGUCAUAUUAAUUUCAGAUCACUUUCUUUUUUUUAAGGAUUAAAAUAUUACACGAAUUACUUAUUGCUGUGAUUUGGAGUAUCUUUAACCCUGAAAUAGGUCUAGUCACCUAUCACCCUGGCUCAUGAGAAUUAGCAGAACAUAUCUAAAGUGUCUACCAUAUGGGUUUAUUUGAAGAAAACCUUGAAGAAAGUUUUUACGAAGCUCUGCUCGCUUUGGUGCCUCCAGCAUUCUUGUUUUCUCGGUUUACUCUCUUGGUGGCCUUACCUCAUGUGACAUAUUCACCAAGCAACCUAGAGGGUUUAUAUUUGUAACUGCUCUUGCCUUCUCCAGUGUGACUAAAGAUUGCCAGGCCUCAGUAGUGUCGUUUCCCUGGCAAAGGCUCUUCCACAGUGGGUGUGUGAAUCCUUAAACCAAGCUUGCUU